rnacentral:lncRNA from 1 species
GAAAUCGGACACCGAAUUGGGUUUUUUGAUUACGUUGCCAGUCUUGUCUAUUGUGUGCGUGCGGGGGAAGCGUAUGAUGUCAAAGAUCAGGCGAUUUUCUGGGUUGAUGGAAUGCAGGUAAUCCGAGAAUUGUAGGGGGCGAAAAGCCGGUCCGAGGACGAUGUACCUGGCUAUUGCGAGUCGAUCGAUGGGCUCGCUUGUUUUGUAACCC